GAAUAUUCCGCAAUGCGCGAAAGCGUGACGGAGCGAUGCCGCGUGCAGGAUGAAGCCCCUCGGGGUGUAAACUGCUGUCAGGGUUUAGCAACUCAAUGAGCAGACCCAAAGGAAGGGCCGGCUAACUUCGUGCCAGCAGCCGCGGUAAUACGAAGGGCCCGAGCGUUAAUCGGAAUCACUGGGCUUAAAGCGUACGUAGGCGGGCAUGCAGGCAUUGUGUGAAAUCCCUCCGCUCAACGGAGGAACUGCACAGUGAACCGCAUGUCUUGAGACAAGUAGGGGCGGUCGGAACGCACGGUGGAGUGGUGAAAUGCGUUGAUAUCGUGCGGAACGCCGAAGGAGAAAUCAGGCCGCUGGGCUUGUUCUGACGCUGAGGUACGAAAGCGUGGGGAGCGAACGG
rnacentral:rRNA from 1 species